GAGAGCUAUGCCAUUUUUGGGCCAGGACUGGAGAUCUCCUGGAUGGAGCUGGAUUAAAACAGAAGACGGCUGGAAAAGAUGUGAACCCUGGAGUGAGGGACUUGAAGGAGAGAAUGACCGGUGUGGCGCCAGCCACGGCACUAUCUUAAAUAGUGAAGAUGAAGAAAUAUUCAAUAAUGAAGAGCAUGAAUAUGCAUCCAAAAAAAGGAAAAAGGACCAUUUUAGAAAUGACAAAAAUACUCAGUGUUUUUAUCGUGAAAAAUGGAUCUAUGUCCAUAAAGAAAGCACAAGAGAAAGACACGGCUACUGCACUUUGGGAGAAGCUUUUAACCGCUUAGACUUCUUCAGUGCGGUUCAGGAUGCCCGGAGGUUCACUUAUGUGGCCAGACUGUUGCAGCUGAUCGCAAAGUCCCAGCUGACCUCGCUGAGCGGUGUGGCCCAGAAGAACUACUUCAACGUUCUGGAUAAAAUCGUUCAAAAAGUUCUCGAUGACCACCAAAACCCUCGCCUAAUCAAAGAUCUUCUCCAAGACCUAAGCUCUACCCUUUGCAUUCUAAUUAGAGGAGUGGGGAAGUCCGUUCUGGUGGGAAAUAUCAACAUUUGGGUUUGCCGGUUAGAAACUAUUCUCAACUGGCAACAGCAGCUACAGAAUCUUCAGAUGACUGAGCAGGUGGACAGCGGCCUGACGCUCAGCGACCUUCCCGUGCACAUGCUCAGCAACAUCCUGUACAGGUUCUCGGAUGGGUGGGACAUCGUCACUCUGGGUCAGGUGACCCCGACGCUGUCCGCGCUUAGCGAGGACCGGCGGCUGUGGAAGAAGCUCUGCCAGUACCACUUCGGCGAGAAGCAGUUUUGUAGACACUUGAUCCUUUCAGAAAAAGGUCAUAUCGAAUGGAAGUUGAUGUAUUUUGCACUUCAGAAACAUUACCCCACUAAGGAACAGUACGGAGACACACUGCACUUUUGUCGGCACUGCAGCAUCCUCUUUUGGAAGAUUAUAUCCGUGGUAAUGUGGCUCUUUUUUAACUAUAAUCCGUGGUUGUGGGGUGAGAGUCCCUGUGUCAACAGAGCUUUACCUCCUGGGCUGCAGGCGAGCAGGUCCUGCUGUCCCCACUCAUGACCAACAGGAGGUCACGUCAUUGGUAAUUGGUUGUUUUGUAUUCUAGUGUGGCUUUUCCCACACAAUUAAAAAGAAGAAAUGUGUUACAUGGCUGCAGUGGCUGUUCUGUGGAACCUUGUUCCUCUGGGGCAGGGGCACCUCACGCUCAUUCUCUCCGGUGUGCCGGCUGCGUUGCGCGGGGACGCAGGCGAAUCAGUCAGUGGGAUUACAGUACAUGGAGCGGAGCCCUUAUUGUGCGCCCUUGGUCCCAAUCACAGGGAUAGAAACGCAUACCCGGGCAGGUGCCCGUGGAAAACACGUGAGGAGGCGUCUUCACGGCUGAGUCAGAGCAGACGAGACCGUCUGGUUGCUGCUCUGAACUGACGCUCCUCCCCAGGGUUUUCUGUUCUGAGCAGAUCACUUUAUUCCAGAGAGAGACUGGGAGCAGUGGUGUUUCUUCCUGGGGCGGAUGUGAUGGGCGUUUCUCUAAGAAUGCCGUUGCAGAGUGUGGAGAGUGUGGGAGCCCUGUCUCUGAAGUAGUGAACAGAGAAGCACCCUCCUUAGUCUCCCUGCUGUUGGUGUAAGAAUGUGCUGCUGAGGCAUCGAGAAGCACGGAAGUUCUGGAUUUUUUAAAACUGAGAUGUGAUUUUUUAGGUUUCCAGAAGAAUUGGCCUGUGGAUUCUUUUGUUUAUGAAAAUUCAGAACAAGUGUCUCCUGCUGGUCUUUUGGCUCUGAAAUGUUCAGUCUUGCCUUGAAAGCUGAGCACUUCGAUGUCCAUGCAGCCUCAGGCCUCAGGGCCUGGUUUGGUCCACCCCUGGGGUCACACUGUAGCUUUUUCUCCUAGAGGCCAUUCCAACUUUAUUCUGAAUCUGUGGGUGGAAAUUUAAAAAAAAAAAAAAAAAAGACGAGUCUCUGGAAUUUCUGGUGGAAACUGCUUGCAGUGUCAGCUCCCGAGGAAGGUCCCCUGCGUUGCCCCAGCUGACCGGACUCUCUCCCCCACCCCCUCAUCCCACACCAUCCCGUGGCCUCACCCUAGUUCCCAGCCUCAUGGAGCCUCCUGUUGGGGCAGACCUGCUGCGUGGAGUCGUGAAGGUUAAGCAGUGCCCUGCCCUGCGCGGGGCUGGUGCUCAGAAGUGGCCCCUGCGCUUUGACUCACCUUCGCCAGCACUUUCUGCUGAUGGAGAGACAGCAGCGUGACACCAUCAGGUGCCGCCGGGUGCUGGUGGGGACCCGCCAUGGUGCGGCUCCCGCACACUGCCAGACUCAUCCUCUUCCGCCCACGUGGGCCUGGGCUCUGACCUCUCAGCUGCCCCAGCCGUCCUGUCUGUUCUGGCUUCACUCUCUGGAGUCUGGGGGUUAGUUUUCUACCUGCCUUUGUGGGAACUCCUCCAAAGUGAAAGAAGGGGAAAUACUGGGCUUAAGAACUGUGCACCACGGUCUUGGAGUCACUGAGCCGAGUCACUCAGGCGAGCGCAGGUGCCGGCUCGGGGUCUGUCUGGCUUCUGUGGGCCGGCCCUCCCGGGUUGCUGAGUAGUGACGCGAGACCACUGUGUUCCUUCCGCCUGACCGUCCUCCAGCUGAGUUUCUCGACUUCAUUGAACUUCGGUCAACACUGGGGGUUGGGUGAGUUGGAAGCCAGACAGAAUGAGUCCAGUUAAAGGCUGGGAAUCAGGACCCCGUGUCCUUUUUUGUCUCGGCGUGUCCACUGCCAGGUCCACACCGUGGGUCUGUGGCCGGAGCAGGGAGGCUGCUGGCCCCAGCCCGCACUGAUGGCCAGCCCCCAUCUCCAGCGAGGGUGGGGAAGCGGGCCAGGUGGCCGGGCCGGCAAGAGGCGAGAGCGGCAGGUUGGUGCUGACCUCGAGCUGAAAACCGUGGAUGCGCAGGGGUCCACGCGGGAUCCAGGCUCUGGGGUGCCUGGGCUUGCGUGGAGUCUGGUUCGUGCUCUGAAUUCCACGGAGUUGACUCUCAGACAGCAAAGAGGGAAUGAGGGAGCUUCCGAGAAACCUGCCAUAAAUAUUUGCAGUGUAAACCGUAUGUGUCAGUGUCGCUCUGUGCACUUUCAGUGAACAGUUCCGACGGUUAUGUAGCUCUGCAGCCUCAUCAGUUGUCAGUCCGAGACUCGAGGAAGUGGAAACUGUGGCGGUGGCCCUUCAGGUGCUGGACGGUGCCUGAUUCAGCUGCCCGAUGAUUUUAGCCAUUUGCGUAAAUAAUACACAUCCAGCCUAAAUGCUAAGUACGGUCUGGCUCUUCCUAAUAACCCUGUUUUCCCUUUUUUCCUCCCUUCUCUGCACUCCUUCCUGACCCUUUCUCCGCCGUCUCCAAGGACUGCCGCCUUGCUUUAUUACUCGAGGACUCGGGCCACCCCUGCACGGCUGCUGACCCUGACAGCUGCUUCACGCCCGUGUCCCCGCAGCACUUCAUCGACCUCUUCAAGUUCUAAGGGCCCCACCGCGCCGUGGCCUGGGCAGCGUGGUAGGACGCGUCCUCCGUGACCGAGCCGUGACCUGGUGCCCAGGCUGGAGGGCGUGGAGGGACGUGGAAAAGUGCCCUGGCACCUGCGGGCGGGAGCAUCUGUUGUUUCCACCCGUGAAGUGGGGCCAGGGAGCCCAAGGAAAAUCAUUUCUACUUCCUUCUUUAAAAAAUGCUUUUCUUCUAAGCGCAUUAAAAUGUGCAACUUUGCAUGUUUGUGAAUGUGGUUCAGAAAGAGUCUGUAUUUUCAGCACGGCAUCCUGUGCUGAACUGACACUAACAGCCAAGCAUACACUUCUUAAUUGUCAAAUGAUAGUUUCCUGAUUUUGUAGUGAUCGGGGGCGGGGAUAGAUCAUUGAUCCUUGUAAGGACAUUGUGCAGAAUAUUUAUUUUUCUUGAGAUGUAUUUUAACUGUAUUGGUCGUGUCCAUAUGAAUCCUCUUGGAUACAGAAGGAACCCAGGGAAGUAUGUGCAUGUCUUCUGGGUGCUCAGCGUUGGGUUGUGAAUUGUGCAGACAUCCGAGACCCACAAAGGCGUGCGUCUGGGGCUGUGAUCCUGGGCUCAUGGCCCGAUGCUGGCAGGCAGGGGCCCUGACCUGGGGGCCAGCCCAGUGUGACCUGCACUGUACUGCUCUGAAUCCCCUUUUGCAGGCAAAGUAAUAAAUCAUGUUUAUCUGCCGAUUUUAACUUCAUCAGUUUUGCAUCUUACUGAAGGAAGUAGUAUCAAUGAUUUUGAUAUCAUUUAUUGAAACCUUUCAAAGAUUGUUUUAUUUUCAAAGUAUUGCAUGUACGUUUUAGAAAAUUUUGAAAAUAAAGGUUUAUAAAAGAAUAAAACUUGCAUAUAACCCUGCCACCCAGAGAUAGCUGUGCUUGCCAGAAGGAAUGCAGGAAUGGCCCCGGCAGGUGUAGGGGAGACUGAACAGGGUCAAGGACCCAAGCAAAGUCAUUUCUACUUCCUUCUUAGCACAUGGAAAUUUGCUGUUUUGCAUAUUUGUAAAUAAAGAGUGUAUUUUCACUACAUUCUGUGCUGAACUGACACAGCCAAGACUAUGCUUAAUUGUCAAAUGAUAGUUUCCCUCUGUGUGUAUUGGGUGAAAGCUUUUCAUAAAACCGUAAACAUCAUAUAUACUGUUUUCAUUUUAUAACCAGCCUUUUUUUCAAAAGUGUGUGUGAAAAUAUGGUUUUUACUGGCGACCUGGUACCACACAGCUGGAACAGAUCACUUUGUGAUCAGCAUCACCACGUGUGCACCUGUGUGCAUCUCAUGAUCUCCUUACGAUAAACGAGAAGCAGAACCAGGGAAACGAGUCAGUUGUUUGUAAGGAUGUUUCCGGAGCACUGGCGAGGAUGGAAGGCGGCAUCUUUCUCCCCCGAAGAUGGAUGUGAAGAGGCUGUGAGGUAGGACAUGUCUUCUGAAAGCUUAUUGGCGAGUUUCUGUAUUUUUUUAACAUAUAAAUUUAUUUAUUUUUGUCUGAGCUGGGUCUUCGUUGUUGUGCGCGGGCUUUCUCUAGUUGAGGCGAGCGGGGGCUACUCUUCGUUGUGGUGCACGUGCUUCUCAUUCUGGUGGCUUCUCGUUGCAGAGCACGGGCUCUAGGCACGUAGGCUUCAGUGUUUGCAGCACGCAGGCUCUGUAGUUGUGGCACAUGGGCUUAGCUGCUCUGCGGAAUGUGGGAUCUUCCCAGACCAGAGCUCGAACCCGUGCCCCCUGCGUUGGCAGGCGGAUUCUUAACCACUGCGCCACUAGGGAAGCCCUGUAUUUUGUUUUGCUUUGGCAAAUUACCUAAUUGUGUUCUUUGCCUGUUUUACUUUUGGGGUGUUAGUCUUUUUUGUAUAAGUUUCUUCUUAGGAGGACGUUAACCUCUUGAAGUGAGUUUUUUCCCCAGAUAACAUUAAAAGUCUUGGGAGAAGAGUCCAGCUGUUCCCCCUAUUAAUUAGCCCGUUUCCAGAGGCAGCAGAUGUGCUUGGACCCAAAACCGCACACAGGCAUUGGCAAAACCUAUAGCAGGUGUGCCUGAGCCCGCAGCACUGGGAGGGGGCGUGAGCAGGAUACAUUUGGGGGCAGGCAGAGAGUUCCAGGCACACAGUUCCUGGGUCCUGAUCACUCAUUUACGGAAGAUCAGAUGACGUGAACAGGAAGGGAGGGAUCGUCCUGAGCUGCAGGUUCAUGUGUCAUUUCUGAGUGUGGCUCCAUCAGAGGGCUCACCAGACUCGGGCUGCACGGUGUCGCUCCCCACGAUGUGUCAUCUGCACGCCCUCUACCCUCUCAGCACGGCCAGGAGUGGGCCCAAAGCCGCCCCUGCGGGAACUGCCACCCUCCGGAAGUGGCAUCUGGAAGUCUGUGGCGUCUUCCUUUGCCUUGAGGUACAUUUUCUCACCCGGGUUGUGACUCAUGGGCCAGGAGGAGCCACAUUAGGUUCUGCAGCAGGUCCAGGUGCUAGUCUGGGAGUUUCAUGGCAUCUGUUGUGCGUUUGCUCAGGGCUGUCCAUGGAGAACCAUGUCUCCUUUAGGGACAGUAUUGAAGGAUUUGAUGUUAUUUCUGCUGUAAAUGCUGCUUUUAGAAUCGUACAGAUUCUAACAAACAUACAGAAUCAAACAAAAUGCUCAUGUAAGGUGUUUGUAUACUGAUUUUGUAUCCUGUAACUUUGCUGAAAUCGCUAAUUAAACCUAGCGGUAUUUUUUGUAGAUUCCUUAGGACGUGGAUAUACAUCGUGUCCUCUGCAAAUAGAGGUGGCUUUUCACCUUUCCUUCUUUCUUCCCUCCCUCCUUCCCUCUCUCCUCUCCUUCCCAGCUUUCCGGCCAGACCCCCAUGCACGUGGAUGGCAGUGCACACACAUCCUAGCAUGUUCCUGGGAGGCUCCCUGCCCUUCGCCUGUGGGUGUGGUGCAUGCUGGGCCUCUCUGUGGACGCCUGGAUCAGGGUGAGGUGCUCCCAUCCAGCCUCGCUUUGUUGACGUGUUUGUUUUUUUUUUUAAUCAUGAAAGGAUGUUAGAUUUUUUCGAGUGCUCUUUCUACAUCUACAGUGGUGGUCGUGUGUUGACUUUUGUGUGUUGAACCAACCUUGCAUUUUCAGGCCCACGUCCCAUGUGGUUUCCAUACACAUUUGGUGGGUUUAGUUUGCUGGUUUUACUGAGCAUUUUCACAAGAGAGAUUAGCUGUGCUUUUCUGGUGAGUCUUUGUCUGGUUUUGGUAUCAGGGUGAAAACAGCCUCCUAGAAGGGGCUUGCCUUGGGAGCGUUCCCUCCCAUUUUCUGGGAAGGGUUUGUGAAGAAUUGGUGUGUGUCCUCCUUUAAGCAUUAGGAUAAUUCCUUGGAAACUGAAGUUACUGAGGAGAAGCGUCUGUUUUCAGUUUAGUGACAUCCUCCCUUUUGGAAAAUCCUUUGCCUUUAACGGGAUAGCUGAGACGUAUCUUGGUUAGAGCUCAUUUUCUUCAUCAUGGGCCCUAACCUAGCAAUAAACGGGCUGUAAACUUCAUCUGCUGCUUUCCUCCAUAGUUACAGAAGGAAGUGUGCUGAAAACCAUAGAUGAAAAGGCAGAAGCUGUCUUGGCUUAUGACAUUUCUUUCUUUCAUUAACGGUGUGAGAAAAUGCAUAUGCUUCACUCUUCUCCGUUUCCUGUAUUCCCUACCAAAUGCAGCAUCACCCCCACCCGGUGAGAUACCCAAGGAUCUGCAAACCUGGGAGGGGAAACCCUGAGGGACCCAGUGAUUUCCUGCUGCCGACACCUGCUCGGCUGAAAGGCCCGACAUCCACUUGCUUCUCAGCUCGCACCCCCCUGCUCCUAUCUGGGUGUGGUCGCGUCUUCUGACCUCACUCCAGAUGAGCUCUGCUUUCUGUCCCUUUUUGCAGAGGAAGCAGACCCUCACUUUUGGAGAACAGUGUCCCCUGGGCGCCCCCCAGAAUCCCAGCAGGGAUGUGCCACGUGCACCUUCCCGACCCCUGCCAUGGCUGGUGUGGCCUGCUCCUUCCCACCGCACAGGUGUGACUGCAGUGCCCCCUCGCCAGCACCUUCUGGGUGUCAUUGGCACAUGCAUCUCUCAGGCGUAUUCCUGGGGGUUCUGCUGCCCUCCCCGCCCCCAGCACCGACUCAGGCCCACAUGGAGAACAGAGGUGCUCAGAGCACAGCCACCUGAGGAUGCGAGAGGGCUUUUCACGUGUCUCUCGCUCAGGAUGGCGAGAUUCUCCACACACCGUGUUUGUUCUUCUGUGUCAGACAGGAGAGACACCUCAACUAUGUUGUUUUUAUUAUUUGGAUAAAAUUUUCACUCUUCUUUGACAGUCAUUUGAGAAAUUUGCACAGACGAAUGCAAGUAGCUUUUUACUAUUUAAUCUACAUAGAAAAUUCAAAUGUCAUUAAAAAAUUUUAAUUGCAGUGAAAUACACAUAAAAUUUGCCAUCUUAACCAUGUUUCAGUGUACAGUCCAGUGGCAUUAGGUACAUUCACAUUGUUGUGCAAACACCACCACCAUCAUCUGCAGAACACUUUUUAUCUCUGCAAACAGAAAUUGUCCCCAUUAAACACUAAUUCCCCUUCCCCACCCACCAGCCUCUGGCCCCCACCAUCCACUUUGUCUCUAUGGAUCUGACUGCUGUAGACACACCAUGUAACUGGAAUCAUAAAGUGGUUGUCUUUUCAUCCGUGUUGUAGCAUCGCUCAGGAUUUCCUUCACUUGUGAGCUGAGUAGUGUUCCAUUGUGUGGUUGGACCACAUUCUGUUUCUCUGUCUGUUGAUGGGCACUUGGGUUGCUUCCACCUUUGGGCUGCUGUGAACAUGAUGUACAAAUCUCUCUUCUAGAUAAAGGUUUCGUUUCCUUUUGAAUGUAUACCCAGAAGUGGAAUUGCUGGAUCAUGUGCUAAUUAUAUAGUUAAUAUUUUGAGGAACCACCAUACUAUUUUCCAUGGUGGGAGUGUACAAUGGUGCAGCCUCUAACAGUGCCCAGGGGCUCCAGUUUCUCUGCAUCCUCACCAACACUUGUUAUCUUGUGAGGUUGGGCUUGUUUUGUUUGUUUUUUAUAGUAGUUGUCCACAUGGUUGGGAGGUGAUAUCUCAUUAUGGCUUUGAUUUUCAUUUCCCUGAUGAGAAGUGAUGUUGAGCAUCUUCUCCUGUGCUUGUUGGCUGUUUAUAUGUCUUUCUUGGGGAAAUGUCUAUUCAGGUCCUUUGCCCUCUUUUUAAUUGAGUUGUAUGUGGCUUUGUUGUUGAAUAUAGAAAGAACUACUACAACUCUGGACACUAAGUCCUUAUCAGCUAGACAACUUGAAAAUGUUCUCUCCGAUUCCCUAGGUUGCCUUUUCACUCUGUUGACUGUGUCCUUGGACGCACAGAGGUUUUAAAUUUUGAUGUCCGAUUUCUCUAUUCUUUUUUUUGGUGCCUGCACAUUUUGUCAUAUCCAGGAUUUCAUUGCCAAAUCCAGUGUCAUGAAGCUUUCUCCCUAUGUCUCCCUAUGUUUUCUUCUAAGAGUUUUAUAGUUUUAAUUUUUGCACAUAGCAUAAUAAGGUAAGGAUCCAACUUCAUUCGUUUGCAUGUGGAUAUGUGGUUUUCCCAGCAACGUGUGUUGACUGUCCUUUCCCUACUGAAUGGUUUUGGCGCCCUUGUUGAAAAUCAUUUGACCAAAUAUGCCAUUAUGACUUGGGUGGGGAUUGUAUUGACUCUAUAGAUUGCUUUGGGUGGAAGUUUUCCAAUCCAUGAACAUGGGAUGGCUUCCAUUUAUUUGUGUCUUUUUCUUUCAGCCUUUUUCACUCAGUUCAUUCCUAAGUGUUUUAUUCUUUUUGUUGCCAUUAAAAAAUGAAAUUUUCUUAAUUUCCUCUUUGGAUUUUUCAUUGUUAUUGUAUAGAAAUGCAACUGAUGUUUGUAUGUUGAUUUUUUUGUUGUCUUUAGGAUUUUCUACAUGUAAGAUCAUGCCACCUGCAAACAGAAAAUUUUAAUACUUCCUUUCCAAUUUGGAUGCUUUAUUUCUUUUUCUUGCCCAGAUGGCUCUGUCUGGUGCAGACUUCCAAUCUGUGUGGAACAGAAGUAGUGAGAGUGGGCAUUUUGUCUUGUUCCUGAUCUUAGAGGAAAAGCUUUCAGUCUUUCAGCAUUGAGAGGGUGUCAGCUGGGACUUUUUAUAUGGCUGUAUAAUGUUGGGGCAGUUUCCUUCUAUUCAGAAUUAGUUGAGUAUUUCCAUCGUGAAAGGGUGUUGAAUUUUGUCAACUGCUUUUUCUGCAUCAAUUGAAAUGAUCAUGUUUUUCCUUUGUUCUGUGUAUAAUAACGUGUAUUAAAUUGAUUGAUCUAAUGGUG